rfam:Tupaia chinensis contig56915, whole genome shotgun sequence.
CUGCAGCCAAUUAGCUGACCAUGUUCCUCUCCUUAUGGAGGCUCACAAGGGCAAUGGCUGCAAACAACAGCUCCAGCAGUAGUAUACACAGCCUGUUGCUUGUGUGGGUGGCCCCUAAGGGACCAAGGAGACAGCC